GGAAAACUGGGCCUGUGGUGCUGCUGGGGUUUGGAGAGGUGUCUGAUCCAGCAAGGGUGGUCCACGGACUGCAGGCAGCUGGAGAGGAUGAUACUUUUCAAUUCCAAAGAUGUAAACGUGACGUUGGAUGACCAGGCUUUCUUAUAUUUUAUAUGGAAGUAGCAGUUGGGUAACUCAUUUUGCAACGGAUCUGAGAUGGGCAGUAGGGUGCAGGCAGAGCACCCGUAAAAAGGCGACUGUGUGGAAGCUCCGAAAAUUAAAGCUGGCAAGCAAGAAGGAGCCCGAAGUCAUUCUCGCACUGCUAACCAGUGGCAGCCUUUGAAACAGAAUGUGCAAGGGUGCUUCCUAGAGGAAGGAGGGUGCCAGCAUCAACAGCCCAACAGGGGAGAGAGAGACGGAAGGUGAUGAUGCAGUCAAUAUCUG